AUUGAACGCUGGCGGCAGGCUUAACACAUGCAAGUCGAACGAGUGGCGGACGGGUGAGUAAUGUCUGGGAAUCUGGCUUAUGGAGGGGGAUAACGACGGGAAACUGUCGCUAAUACCGCGUACCAUAGGAUGAGCCCAAGGGGGAUUAGGUAGUUGGUGGGGGAAUGGCGCACCAAGGCGACGAUCUCUAGCUGGUCUGAGAGGAUGACCAGCACAACCGGGACUGAGACACGGCCCAGACUCCUACGGGAGGCAGCAGUGGGGAAUAUUGCGCAAUGGGGGCAACCUGACGCAGCCAUGCCGCGUGUAUGAAGAAGGCCUUCGGGUUGUAAAGUUCUUUCAGUGAGGAGGCGUUAAUCACAGAAGAAGCACCGGCUAACUCCGUGCCAGCAGCCGCGGUAAUAC
rnacentral:rRNA from 1 species